CUUUUUCCCUCAGGCGACCAGACGACAGGCGACCAGACGACAGGCGACCAGACGACAGGCGACCAGACGACAGGCGACCAGACGACAGGCGACCAGAUGACAGGCGACCAGACGACAGGCGACCAGACGACAGGCGGUUAUCGCCGCGCAGAAAUGACGAGCGGUGGCCGUCGCCGAAGAGAGCGGAGGAGAAACGAACGUCGCCGCGAAGGAGCCAAGAGACGAGAUACUCCCCGACGAGGCUUCCUCCCAGAUACUCCCCGACGAGGCUUCCUCCCAGAUACUCCCCGACGAGGCUUCCUCCCAGAUACUCCCCCUCCUCUCAGAUACUCGCCUCCUCUCAGAUAUUCGCCGCCGAGGCACUCGCCCCCUCGAGGCCAGCGCUCUCUGUCCCGGGGCAGUCGAGAAACCAGGUCCUCGUCCGAUAAAAGCUCCGCCAACAGAAGCGGCGCCCAGAAGAAGAAGCCGAGCGAGCUGGAGCAGGCCACGAAGAAGAUGCUGGAGAAGUCGUCAGUGCUGAAGUCUCUCUCUGGUCCCGCCGACAUGGACUCUUUGGUGGAGACGAUGAUGCCGCUGUUAAUGUCGCGUUUGGCCAAAGAAAUGGGCACCUCGUCCUCGGCGGCGCCCUCUACAGCCGCCAAGAAGAAGGCGGUGAAGAAGACGGUCUCCACGCCCGUGAGGAGGACGGUCUCUGCGGCGUCCAAACCCAGAGUGAGCCAACUUUCUGCUUUAAGGAAAUGGUGAAACUGAAACUACAGCCCAUGUUUUAGUCUUUAUUUGUUUUUGUGUUGUGUUUCCAGGCGGUGAAACCUUCCACGAUGGUGAGACUGGGCUCCAUCAUCCCGCCUCUGUCUCACGACGACGUGGUGGCGUUCGCAGAGAAAUUCGGGAAAACCAAAUCGGUUUUGCUGUUUCGCCAAAAACACCAGGCUGUGGUGUGUUUUGAAAAAGAAGAAGACGCCAAAAAACUGAGAACUGCGAAAGACCUGAAAAUCAAAGAUCAUCUGGUCACGAUCGUCAAGUAUAAGGAGGCAGUUUCUACAACUCAAAGAAAAUCUCCCGUAUCUGCGGCGAGACGACCCUUGAAGUCGGCCGUUAAAACGACCGGAACUACGAGAAAAGCCAGUGCAUCCAAAACUGCUCCAGUGAAGGCCACUACGUUGAAAGCAACAACCGUCAAAACACCGGCCACCAGAACCACGCAAUCAAAAACUACUUCAGUCAAAUCUGGCGUUACCAGGAAGGUCCCUACUGCCUCUACUUUAACAGCAGCUGCUGCUACUUCAUCUACUACUGCUGCUGCUAUUUCUACCAUUGCUACGAUUAUCACUCCUGCGACGGCUGGAGUGGACGUAACUAGAGCGAGGUAUGCCACGGCAGGUCAGAUCCGAUCCGUCCAAUACUCGAGCCUGAAGGAAGUCGUGAUCCAAGACAAUCCGAUACCAAGUUUGUCGAAGGAAGUCACGAAUGCACCCAAAGAAGCCGACAAGGAAGCGAUCAAAAUCAUAGACGUCGACAUGGAACCGAUAGAAAUCAGCAGCGGGACGGACUGCGAAGAUGAGGGUGAGCAGAGGGUGUUGAAAAAUUCGGCUGCGGAAGUGCCAAGCAACAAGAUGGAUGCCGAUAAAGUAGUCACUGAAGACAAAACUCCAGAAGAAGUGGUUGGAAGUACGAACAAUACGGCAGGAAAAGAUAAUAUGAAAAAAUCUGAAGAAGUUGGAGAGAAGAUUUCAAGCCAAGAAACGGUUGAAAGCACCAAAAACGUUGAACGAAAUUUGCAAGAAGAUGAUUCGAACGUGACGAAAGAAAAGCUUCCAGACGAUCCGCAAGAAAUGCCCACUGAGAAAGACAAGAUUUCACCAACAAAAAACGAUGCACAGGCUGAACAAACACAGCAGAAAACGGAACAAGUUGUGGAACAUAAAAGUGAAAAUUUACCACAAAAAGAACAAACCGAUUCAGGAGAAAAGACAGUCGUUGAAGGGUCUGAGAAAUUGGAGGUGGAGUUGAGCACGCAGCAGCCGAAUGAAGAGUGCGCAGUUGCUAAAAAAGAAGAGAAUUCAACAGAGAAACUAGCAGAGUUGGCCGAAGUGACGUCCACAGCGACACAAGGAGAGACGGUUGUAGAGGAGCGGGAGGAAAAGAUGGAAGUUUCAACCACGGAAGCUGAAAGAGUCCAAGAAACGUCAAAGGCAGAAGUAACCACAAAGCCAACCGAAACGAAGCCCGAAGCGACGAAGCAAGAAGCGACGAAGCCCGAAGCGACGAAGCCCGAAGGGACGAAGCCCGAAGGGAGUAAGCCAGAAGCGAGUAAGCCAGAAGCGACGAAGCCCGAAGCGAGUAAGCCAGAAGCUACGAAGCCCGAAGCGACGAAGCCCGAAGCGAGUAAGCCAGAAGCUACGAAGCCCGAAGCGAGUAAGCAAGAAGCUACGAAGCCCGAAGGGAGUAAGCCAGAAGCGAGUAAGCCAGAAGCUACGAAGCCUGAAGCGACGAAGCCCGAAGCGAGUAAGCCAGAAGCUACGAAGCGAAGCGACGAAGCCCGAAGCGAGUAAGCCAGAAGCUACGAAGCCCGAAGCGACGAAGCCCGAAGCGAGUAAGCCAGAAGCUACGAAGCCCGAAGCGACGAAGCAAGAAGCGACGAAGCCCGAAGCGACGAAGCCCGAAGCGAGUAAGCCAGAAGCUACGAAGCCCGAAGCGAGUAAGCCAGAAGCUACGAAGCCCGAAGCGAGUAAGCAGAAGCUACGAAGCCCGAAGCGAGUAAGCAAGAAGCUACGAAGCCCGAAGCGAGUAAGCAAGAAGCUACGAAGCCCGAAGCGAGUAAGCCAGAAGCUACGAAGCCCGAAGCGAGUAAGCCAGAAGCUACGAAGCCCGAAGCGAGUAAGCAGAAGCUACGAAGCCCGAAGCGAGUAAGCCAGAAGCUACGAAGCCCGAAGCGAGUAAGCCAGAAGCUACGAAGCCCGAAGCGAGUAAGCCAGAAGCUACGAAGCCCGAAGCGAGUAAGCCAGAAGCUACGAAGCCCGAAGCGAGUAAGCAAGAAGCUACGAAGCCCGAAGCGACGAAGCCAGAAGCGACGAAGCCUGAACCAACGAAGCCAGAAGCGAGUAUGCAAGAAGCGACGAAGCCCGAAGCGACAAAGCCUGAAGCGAGUAAACAAGAAGCGACGAAGCCCGAAGCGACGAAGCCUGAAGCGAGUAAGCCAGAAGCUACGAAGCCUGAAGCGAUGAAGCCUGAAGCGAGUAAACAAGAAGCGACGAAGCCAGAACCGACGAAGCCAGAACCGACGAAGCCAGAACCGACGAAGCCAGAACCAACGAAGCCAGAAGCUACGAAGCCUGAAGCGAUGAAGCAAGAAGCGAUGAAGCAAGAAGCGAGUAAGCCAAAAGCGAGUAAGCCAGAAGCUACGAAGCCCGAAGCGACGAAGCAAGAAGCGAUGAAGCAAGAAGCGAGUAAGCCAAAAGCGAGUAAGCCAGAAGCUACGAAGCCCGAAGCGAUGAAGCCUGAAGCGACGAAGCAAGAAGCAAGUAAGCCAAAAGCGAGUAAGCAAGAAGCGACGAAGCCUGAAGCGACGAAGCAAGAAGCGAUGAAGCAAGAAGCGAGUAAGCCAGAAGCGAGUAAGCCAGAAGCGAGUAAGCCAGAAGCGAGUAAGCAGAAGCGAGAAGCCAGAAGCGACGAAGCCCGAAGCGACGAAGCCCGAAGCGACGAAGCCCGAAGCGACGAAGCCCGAAGCGACGAAGCAAGAAGCGAUGAAGCCAAAAGCGAGUAAGCCCGAAGCGAUGAAGGCCAAAGCGACGCUAAACACAACCCAGAAAAUCCCUGUCCCGCAGAGUCCAAGUGCAGAAGCAGCGGGGCCGUCUCUGGCCGCGGGCGAGACUCUUCUGGAAAGACUACUCA
rnacentral:lncRNA from 1 species